GACGAACGCUGGCGGUGUGCUUAACACAUGCAAGUCGAACGGUAAGGCCCUUUCGGGGUACACGAGUGGCGAACGGGUGAGUAACACGUGAGUAACCUGCCCUCAUCUCUGGGAUAACAGUCGGAAACGGUUGCUAAUACUGGAUAUGAGCUUGCAAGGCAUCUUGUGGGUUGGAAAGAUUUUUUUGGUUGGGGAUGGACUCGCGGCCUAUCAGCUUGUUGGUGAGGUAGUGGCUCACCAAGGCUUCGACGGGUAGCCGGCCUGAGAGGGCGACCGGCCACAUUGGGACUGAGAUACGGCCCAAACUCCUACGGGAGGCAGCAGUGGGGAAUAUUGCACAAUGGACGGAAGUCUGAUGCAGCAACGCCGCGUGCGGGAUGACGGCCUUCGGGUUGUAAACCGCUUUCAAUUGUGACGAAGCUUUUUGUGACGGUAGCAGUAGAAGAAGCACCGGCUAACUACGUG
rnacentral:rRNA from 1 species